rnacentral:rRNA from 1 species
AUGAUGAAAGAAAUAAUGGAAACUAGUGAAGAUCUUGGGAAGGCUUUAAGGAAAAAAAUGUAAGACAUAGUAAAUGCAAUUCGUCUAGUGCAUUCCACAAAACUACUUUGAGAAGAGAUGAGAUCAGAUGAAGGACGUGAGUUUUUCUUUGGAAAUGUUGUUGAGUUCUAUGUGGAUCAUGGUAUAGAUAUUCCAUGCAUGGAGGAACUAUACAUUCUGCGUGGUGGGCGUGCUCGUCGUCAAUCUGAUCACUUUACUACUAAAAGGUAUCUAAGAGUGUAGACAUUUCAAGCAGUAAUUGACAACCAACUAACUGAAUUAAAUCUUAGGUUCAAUGAUAAAGUGAUGGAUCUCUUAUCCAUUUGUGUUACAUUGAUACCAAGAAAUGGAUUUACAUCUUUUAGUGCUAAGGAAAUAUAUUCAUUGGAGAAAUAUUAUCCGAUUGAUUUUACACAACAAGAGACAUAUGGGUUGGAGAUUCAGCUCAACCACUUUUUUGUGGAUGCUAAAAAUAGUGGAGACUUGAAGAAGCCCAUCACCAUAACUUCUUUAUGUCGAUGCCUUGUUGAGAUAGGACAAGAUGGUAUUUACAAUUUGCUUGAUAGGGUUGCUUCGAUUACUUGUUACUCACCGGUUUCCACUGCAAGUGUUGAGCGUGCUUUCUCGAGCUUGAAGAUUAUCAAGUCCAGACUAUGUAGUCGUAUGGAAUAUGAUUUUCUUACAGGGAGUUUGUUGCUACAGAUUGAACGAGAAAUUGUGUAAAAAACUCCUUGGGAUGAUAUAAUUGCUGAUUUCAAAAGUAGGAAGAAUAGAAGAGUGUAUCUCUAG